UACAGAGGUCUCAAGCGUUGUUCGGAUUCAUUGGGCGUAAAGGGCGCGUAGGCGGCCACCGCAAGUCGGUUGUGAAAUCUCUGGGCUUAACCCAGAAAGGUCAACCGAUACUGCGGGGCUAGAGUGCAGAAGGGGCAACUGGAAUUCUCGGUGUAGCGGUGAAAUGCGUAGAUAUCGAGAGGAACACCUGCGGCGAAGGCGGGUUGCUGGGCCGACACUGACGCUGAUGCGCGAAAGCCAGGGGAGCGAACGGG
rnacentral:rRNA from 1 species